rnacentral:rRNA from 1 species
GACGUAGGGCGCGAGCGUUGUCCGGAUUUAUUGGGCGUAAAGAGCUCGUAGGCGGCUUGUCGCGAUCGACUGUGAAAUCCCGCGGCUCAACCGCGGGUCUGCAGUCGAUACGGGCAGGCUAGAGGUUCGAUGAGGGGAGACUGGAAUUCCUGGUGUAGCGGUGAAAUGCGCAGAUAUCAGGAGGAACACCGAUGGCGAAGGCAGGUCUCUGGGCCGAAUACUGACGCUGAGGAGCGAAAGCGUGGGGAG